AAAAGGUAAACAGUCCUACUAUGAGACUGUAGUGCUAAUGAGAAUGUAGUGCUAAUGAGCUUAAGAGAAGCUGAGAACAGUCAUAGAGAAUUCCGUGUAUCAUAUGCAUGACAUGAUUUUGUCAUUUGGUUUUCUAACACCUGCUGUGUUGUUUCCAGGUACUCUGCUUUGUGUGCUCGGUUUUAUUCCAGCCCUCAUGGUCAGCACAUAAAGUGGGUCUGAAGUAGCUUGGCUUGGAUGGGGUUAACCAGCAAGAAUCCAAAAAGGUGGUAGGCUGUACACAGCUUUCCCGUUUCUACCUUUGACAGGCUGGGAUGCAGAGAGGACUCGGGACAGCCAGCAUCUUCCGCUUCACUACUGGCUCCUGGUUCUCACCAUCAUGUUCUUCUACGAUGGAGCUCUCCCCUUUGCAGCAGACACCAGACCAUCUCUACCUCCUGUGGUCCUCCAAGCAACCUUAGGAACAGCUAUGGGGCUUGCAACUUCUGUUCGGAUGAUUGGAGCUGGCCUUUCAAAUCUUGUUGGGCACAUUCUCAGAACAAAGGUGGGAAUGCUUCCCCUACCACUCACACAGAGACAUCAGCAGCAUGUUAGUGGAAUAUUGUGA
rnacentral:lncRNA from 1 species